UUUAUCACCCAAUGGAAUCGGAACACAAUCAUUCUUACAUCCGUAAUAGAACAAGGUAGCUCAAGUGUUGUAAUAGCCUAUCUCUAAAGUUCUAUCAAAUCUUCAAAAUUGUCGGACCCGAAGAGCCGCUGAGAAGACCAUCAUCAUGGGUGAACCACAGCAGGUUAGCGCCCUGCCUCCUCCACCAAUGCAGUAUAUCAAAGAGUACACGGACGAAAAUGUCAGCAAGGGUUUUGCUCCCAAACCACCACCACCCAUCAGAGACAGCUACAUGAUGUUUGGCAACCAGUUUCAGUGCGACGACCUGAUCAUUCGGCCUCUAGAGAGCCAAGGCAUCGAGAGGCUUCAUCCUGUGCAAUUUGACCACAAACGUGAGCUCAAGAAGCUAAAUAUGUCCAUCCUGGUGAACUUUCUGGACCUUCUGGACAUCCUCAUCAAGAGCCCUGGCAGUAUAAAGCGAGAAGAAAAGCUGGAGGACCUGAAACUUUUGUUUGUUCACAUGCACCACCUGAUCAAUGAAUACAGGCCACAUCAAGCCCGGGAGACUUUGCGAGUGAUGAUGGAAGUUCAGAAACGACAGAGACUGGAUACAGCAGAGAGGUUCCAAAAGCACCUGGAGCGGGUAGUGGAGUUGAUCCAGGGGUGCCUUGCCUCCUUGCCCGAUGACUUACCGCAGUUGGAGGGCACCAACAUUGCUGGGGAUGGAGCAAGGACUCUGCUUGUCGGGAGUGGUGUCGGGCCUUCUGUGCUGCCUCCAAGGCUGAAAACGGAACCCAUGGAUGUAGAGGAAGCAGCGGCUGCAAGUUGUUUGGCGGCAGGUCACCAGAACAAGAUUACGCCUACCAUAAAAAAGGACAAAAUGUGGGACAAAGAUGCCGCCAUGUGCAGUAUCAUUGACAAAAUUGCCUAGUAUUCUCUCACAAUACUGCAAAUGAUUUAAAUUUAGUGAUUUAAAUGUAGCAUUCUCUCACAAUACUGCAAAUGAUUUAAAUGUAUUACUGUGCUAUAAUCACCCAUUUGGUUUAAGUUCAGUUUAUUUAAAAGCUUUGUGUGUAUUGUAUUGUGGCCUCGGGAGAGACAAUAAUCCAUCCAUUGCAUUUGCAAAUGUGUGAAGGACUGGAGAGGAAUCAACCUGAAAAUUCAAUAUCUAAUAAAAAUAUGUUCAGCUAAAAGAGAAAUGUUGUCUUAACUGUCAUUAUCACACAGAAUAUGGUAAUGGUUUAUGCAGUCUGGGCUCUUUUAUUCUGCAAAGAAUCUUAAUGGAGAUAUAUCUAUAUUAGAGAUGAUCCAUCUGCCUCAUAGGUGUGGCAAUAUCAAGAUGCUGAUUAGACUGCUUAUGAUUUUUGUAUAGAUGCGCUGUAUCCUUCAAAAAGCAUGCUCAAUGGGUAACACGUCCGGUUAGUAAUCUGGCCACUCAACAAAUAGGAUUGUUUUCGGCGUCCACAAUUUGGUACGGAUUUUUGCAAUAUGGGACUAUGCAACAUGAGGUGAUGGUUGUGAAUGAAUAGCACAACACUGGAUUUUAGGUUCUCACCGAAUCGAUGAAAUUCAUGUGUGUUCAUUGUUCCAUAACAGAGGUGUGUCUAUUGUGUAACCCCGUGGCCAACAAGGGCCGCUUGAUUUACAAUAAUCGUGUCAGCAAAUCACUUACCCAUGCGUCAUGCACAUUUCUGCCCAGUACAGUGAAGAGCAGUGUAGAUCAUGGAAGAGGACAUCUCUCCAAAGUCCUACGUUUGCUUUAAAUUUUGUGUUUGCAGUUGUGUCAAGUGACACGUGCGUCAUUCUCAGGAGGGAUUGUGUGUGUGUGUGUUUUUGGCAGUCCACCGGACAAAAGAAAAGAUAAACCACACAUUAUGACUACAAUAGGACUUGGGAUAGGAAUCAUUUGAGCUUUUUUUCGUUUUUCUUUAAAUUCACUGUCAGUCAUUAGAAAUAUUUGCUACACUUUUUGAACUUGUGUAAUAGUACCCAAUGUCCUCCUGACAUGUUUAUACAGUAAUGGUUUGACAAUAAGACCAGUUCCACCUGAUACGCAACAACUUUUGCAACGUUUUGUAUAACUUCUUCAAGCUUGGCCUUGAAGUAGUUUCACUAUUAACGCUUAGGCCUAACCUAUUCGGUAUUAUUAUUAUUAAUCAGGUUUUGAUGUUGGGUUUGUCACUCCGCCCCCUCGCGGAUAUCUAGACUUGGGAAUUCCAGCCACUGUGUCGUGCGCGCAACACGUUAUGUAUGCAGUUAAAAGGAAUAGCCUUUCACCAGAAUUGACAGAGCGCAAGCGACUGUGAUCAUAUUUGUCCUGAGGUGCUUGGUGUUCCAACAAAUUUACCUCCGAGUCAUGUUAUGAAACUCAGCGACGAUGGGUUUCACAACAGGGCUGACGGCAAGCUGCUUAGCCAAUCAGCAGCUUCGCUGCCACGUCACGUGGUCUUUAUUUAUGUAACGUAAUGGUGUAACACAGUAACCUGGAAAUAUACCCGUGCAUAGUAUUCAGCAAAACAGGGCAAUCCGCGGACAGACGCGCCCACGAAAAUCUUUAACAUAUUCCCGUUGGGCUUUGUCGAGUCGUUGGUUGCGUUUGGAUCGGUGAGAGAAGCGACUACUAACUCAAAAGAGCCAGCUUUUUUUUUCUCUACCUGGUGGAAAGG